CUUUUUAAAGCCCUGCUCGAAAGUCGGCGGGACAAUUUAUCGUUGGACUAAAAGAAAUUCGUCAAGUGCUAGGUUUUCAUCACUGAGAGUGAGAUGGAGGCCUAUCAAGUUUGAAGAGCAAGAAGUCGCUGGGAAGGAAAGACUAUAGAGAACUUGAAGCUUUCUGAAACACCUCUUGAAAGCGGGAAAGGCAAUUUAUCAUUAUAUCUAAAGACAUGCGGAGUUAUUUGUCCGAUUAUGCAUCACUGAGAGAAAUGGCUACU